UCUUUUUUUUUUUUUUUUUAAAGUCGUGUGUGUGCAUUGAAAAAGCGGAAGCUGGGAGUUGAAGAAAGGAAGAUCGUGUCUGAUGUGUGGACAUGUGAAGGAGACAGAGGCAAAAAAAAAAAAAAAGAAAAAAGAAAAAGAGGGGGAACUGGAGAGCAUGGUCUGAGGUAGAAAAGAAUGAAGGGCAGGGGAAAGAGAGAACCCGUAUCAAUACUGGUAAGAAAAACAGGAGGAGGAAGAGAGGAAAAAGAGGAUCAUGGUGGGAGGAGGAGGAGGGGGGGGGGUAGACUCAGGAAGGAGGGACGGACGGAUAGGAAUUGGUAAAAUCGUGGAGAAAAAAAAAAGGGGGGAGAGACCGGACUUUUCGUCAAACUCAGACUUGCACUCUCUGGUCGCCUCUGAUUUUUUGUUCAUCACUUCUUCUUCGGUCUUUCCUCUCAUUCAUUCAUGGAAGAUAAGAUGACCUGGACUUUUGGACCGGCUUUAUGCAAGAAAUGCCAUUUUCAACUAUAGAUGCCUUCCCCGUGAGAAGAGAGGUAUGGGGGAAAAGUUUAAAGGACGGGAUCCGUUCCAGGCUCGGCAGACGUGUCGGGGAGCAUCUACGACAAAAACGCUAAUCCAGCUUGUGUGACGUAGGAGCUGCUCCUUCAUUUCAAAACCUUCAUCUCUCUACGCUGCAAG